CUCGGGCUCUCUCCUGUGUAGGCUCAAGGACCGUCUGUUAUAUGUGUGUAUAUGUAUAUAAAUGAAAUGCUUGUCGCAGCACCAAGUUGUGGAUAUGUGCAAGGACUGCUGGUGGGGGCAUGCAGAAAAUAGAAGUGUCUUUGUUUGAAGUAAAAAGAAAGCAGACGGCGAGCUGAUGACGUUGAACUACGUUCAAAUUUCUCUCCAUUGUGCCACUGUCAGUUAUAUAUACAAGGUGCUAUAUAACUACAUUUCGACAUAUAUAUGUGUGUGGGCCUUAUUAAAAAACAAAAUCAUAAUCAUAUGGUCAAGGAACUGCUCGGAGUUGCCAGUUCUCGCAUAUGCAGAAAUCAUGCCGAUUCAGGCGCCCUCAUGGACAGACUUUCUCAACUGUCCCAUCUGCUGCAAUGAGUUCGAAGCCAGCCAGCGUGUGCCGAUCAGCCUGGGCUGCGGCCACACAAUAUGCAAGCCCUGUCUGACCACGCUCUACAAUCGGCAAUGUCCCUACGAUCAGACGCUUAUUGUAACGGAUAUCGAAAAUUUGCCGCUUAAUUAUGCACUGCUGCAGCUGGUGGGCAAUGGCAGUGGCGGUACAGGUGGUGGUGGCGCCGCCGAGGAGGAGCUGGCAGAUCUGGCACCAAGUGUGCUUAAGCUGCAGCCGGAACAACUAAAAUGCUACAAGCUGGGCAGAAAAUGCAUCGAAGAAUUGGCCUUGCAUUUAAAAUCGUUUCUAAAUUUGAACAGCAGCAAUUUGCUGACCCGGCCCAUGCAGCGCAAACUGGUCACGCUUGUCAACUGCCAGCUAAUGGAGGAGGAGGGUCGCGUGCGUGCUUUACGAGCUGCACGUUCCUUGGGCGAACGCACUGUCACCGAACUGAUAUUGCAGCAUCAGAAUCCGCAGCAGCUUAGCUCGAAUCUUUGGGCAGCGGUACGCACUCGAGGCUGUCAGUUCCUGGGACCCGCCAUGCAAGAGGAGGUGCUGAAGCUUGUCUUACUGGCGCUGGAAGAAGGUUCGGCGCUCUCACGAAAAGUACUUGUCAUGUUUGUGGUGCAACGGCUGGAGCCUCGCUUUCCUCAAGCGUCUAAGACGAGCAUUGGUCAUGUGGUGCAGCUGCUCUAUCGUGCCAGCUGCUUCAAGGUGUCCAAGCGCGAAGCGGACUCCUCGCUGAUGCAGCUAAAGGAGGAGUUUCGCACUUAUGAUGCACUGAGACGCGAACACGAUGCUCAGAUUGUGCAGAUUGCCACCGAGGCGGGACUGCGCAUUGCGCCCGAGCAGUGGUCAUCGCUGCUGUAUGGCGACAUUACGCACAAGUCCCACAUGCAGAGCAUCAUUGACAAGCUGCAGACGCCGUCUGCAUUUGCACAGUCCGUGCAGGAGCUGGUCAUUGCGCUGCAGCGCACCAGCGAUCCCGCCAAGCUGGCACAGCUGCACAAUCAUCUGCAGUAUUUGGCCAGCAUUGAUCCGUGCGCUGAGACAGCUAGCUGGGAGGAUGUAUCCAAGGCGCUGGACGCUGUGAAGCAUGCCGUCAUGGGUCUAGUACAUUUCCUGCAGCAUCACGGCAUACGCAAGCCACAGGAGAGCAGUCUAGCCGGCGGCUCUGCCAACAAUAACAACACAAAGUACAAGAUAAGUCUGUGCCGGGACCUGAAUCAUCGACGGGUAUGCCCACGAGGCGCCAGCUGCACAUUUGCUCACUCGCAGGAGGAGGUGGAACGCUAUCGCGCCCGCAAUCGUGGCAAGCAUAUUAAAUCAUCCAUGCCCAUGGCAAUGCCCAGCAUACCACCAGGUGGCAAGAAACCGCUGCCCCUGGGCAGCGAGGUGCCCGCACACACCGGCCCAAUGAUGCCCAUAUCGCCCAUACGCUAUAUGCAGCCACCAGCACAGCCGACCAGAGGCUUCCUCGAGCCCAAUUGCAGCAUACCGCCUGCAGCACACAAUCUUCCCCCAAGCGGUGUCCAUCCACAAUUGCUGCGCGCACAUCACAGUCCCAUUGGUCGCCAGCAGCAGCAGCAGCACGCGGCGCUCAAUGGACUGCUGGUGCCACCGGCACCAGGACGCUAUGAGCAACGUUUUAAUUAUGGCCCGGCGCCGGCUCCGUCGCGCAAUAAUGCCACGCGUGAGUAUCCGGGCAAUUCCCCGACUCAGCCGCCGCAACGCAACCCACCGAACUACAACAACAUCAGCAACAACAACAACAACAACAACAACAACAAUAUACACAACCACAACAAGAGCUUCUGCAGCAUGCUUCCAACGGAUGUAUAUCAUUCGCCCUACUUUGGCAACGAGGCCACGGGGAACAGCAAAGGCAACGCCGAGUUGCCAGCAGCUACGAAACUGGGUCAUCCAGCUGCUAGCGGCAAUCCGUGGGAGCAUACAUAUAUGCCACAAGCAUUGGCAACGCUACCGCCGCCGUCCAGCAAGUAUCCCAGUCGAGUUAUGUCCACAAUUUUACCCGCAACAGCCGAUACCUCAUUUUAUGAAAAGAAACCGCCGAGUAAUAAUGUUAAUAUUGAUCUGGAUGUGGAGAGUGCAGCCCAUGCUGAAUCCAUGCCCUUGUUUAGGCCCAACAACAACAACAACAACAGCAGCAGCGGAAACAACAACAACAGCAGCAGCAGCAACAACAACAACAACAAUAACAAUAUCUCAUUAAUAUUCUGGAAUAACUCCAACAAAGAUUCGGCCAACUUUGUGCGUUCCGACUCCAUAUUGGAUGACGAUGCAUCAACCUCGGAUGUGCCCACCGGCUCCUCAAUGCACAGCCGCUACGGCCCCAUAUGUCCCAAACGCUCGACGACUAACUGGCACAACUGGCCCAUGGAGCAUGACCCAAACAACAAAAACGAGUUCCUCAGCGACAAGAGCACAACAGCCGGCGAGCUAAACUUUGCAGGAUUCGAGCCAAAGCCAGCCUACAAGCCGGAGCACAAUGACAACCUCAAUGUCAAUGCCAAUAAGAAUUCAGCUGGACGUGAUAGUGUGUACAUUUGGAACAACGAUCUGAAUGCUAACGCAACAAGCCCCUCGAGCAAUUAUUGGAACAACAGCAGCAGCAGCAGCGAGCCAGCAGGGUCCCAUAACGAAAGACUGAAGCAGCUGGAUGGCAAGCCGAUGCUGCUCUCCGAGGACAGUUUGGAGGGUGGCAUCGAUAGCGGCAUGAUGAGCGAGCUGGAAAAGAAUCUAGUUGACAUUGUCGAGGUCUGGUCGAAUCCGGAUGAUAGCGGCAUAAAGCUGGACUAAGCUCAGACUAUGGAUGAACAAUGUUCGAACGAGUGGAAACAUAAUGCAAUCAUUUUUAUCAAGAUGUCCCCUGUUGGACAUUUUACAGCAAAUAGUUAAAGUUUGAUCAUUAAUCGAUCGGUCCAAGAAGCAGAUAAGAAGAAGCAGUUAAAGAAGAAGAUGAAAAUAACAGAUUUGGGUAGGGGAAAUUAGAAUUUAUUAUGUAAUUAUUUAAUUGUCUAUUUAAAGUGUUGUCGAGCUCUAUAUAUACAUAUAUAUAUAUAUAUA
rnacentral:misc_RNA from 1 species